rnacentral:rRNA from 1 species
UACGGAAUGUGCAAACGUUAUUCGGAAUCACUGGGCUUAAAGAGUCCGUAGGCGGCAUGUUAGGUGAGGUGUGAAAUCCCCCGGCUCAACCGAGGAAUUGCGCUUCAAACCGGCGUGCUUGAGGAAGAUAGAGGUGGGCGGAACUGAUGGUGGAGCGGUGAAAUGCGCAGAUAUCAGGAGGAACACCGAUGGCGAAGGCAGGUCUCUGGGCCACUACUGACGCUGAGAAGCGAAAGCAUGGGGAGCGAACAGG